rnacentral:sRNA from 1 species
GAUGCCAGGGUCAAAAUCCUGAAACCACGAUGUGCUUGCACAGGAGUGGUUUUAUGGCUUAAUGACCCGCUCCGAUAUGAGCAUAAAAGUGGAGCGCAAGCUUCACGAUAUGCUCAUAUCGGGGCAGGAUUGUGGGAGUACGAAGUACGGAACAAUCCGUAAGG